ensembl:lncRNA
GGCCGGGGUGUUUUAGGAGAUCGGCUGAGGCAGCUGUGAGCUGGGUGCUGGCUGAGAACCAGCUGUGGUCCCAGUUCUGUCUCUGACAUCCCCCAGCUGUGCAGCCUGAGGCAGGCAACAGCCUUUGCAGCCCCUUCUUCUGCAACAUACGGGUGACACGGCCAACCUCAGAGGCAUAAACGGCGCCGAAGGGGGUCACGGGCCUCCGGCUGGGGUCCCUGGGGUUAUUCACAGCUUGACUGAAGAAGCAGCAGAGCCAGGAACCUGAGCUGGACUUAGCGCCCGUAGGGGUCAGAGGGCGGCCCAACGCCUUCAGGACCGGACCGGAUGCGGCAAGAGCCGAGUUCCUGAUGCUGCUUAUGAGGAUUUGGACCUGGGGCGGACAAAUGGAAAGGUUUUCCGGCUGACUCUCAGCAGGGUGAGGCCAGGCUCUGAAGCCAGACUGCCAGGGUCCCAGCCCAGCGCGGCCACAGACUGGCAGAGGGACGAGCAGGUGACUACACUCGCGGGCCUCCCUUUCCUCAGCUGUGAAAUAGGUGGGAGGCGGGACUCCAAGAACGCGCCUCCAAAGGCAGGACCAACACCCCACCCAGCCUGUCCCCCUAUGGAAUGUUCUGGAACUUCUGUGCGGAACAGAUCUAUGUGGGCCAAGCUGUUCCUUGAAGGGCCAGCCACACUCUCAUCUUAGGGCUUUUGCACCAGAACCGUGGACUACUCUUCCCUCAGAUAUUCACAAGUGGGUGCCCACAGGUCACCGCCUCAGGGGUCUCUUCUGACCACCGUCUCUUCCUCGGGCAUUUCUGACUGCCCUGCUCCUGCUCCACUGUUCUUUUGGACAUGGCUUUGCACUUUGUAACACACAAGAUACUUGGUUUGUCCACGUGGUUUAUUAGUCCCACCGUGUUUUCUAGAACCUAAGAUCCACGAAGGCAGGAAAGGUGGGGUGUUAUUCACUGAGGGGUCCCAGGUGUCUGGGCUGUGUCCUGGCCCCUAGGAGGCCCCCAGGUAAAUACCCACUGAAUGGGUGAAUCGAUUCUGUACUCAGCAUGAGUGGCGAUAGAGGCAUUUUCAGGUAAAUGAAAAUUCAGGCAGAACUUUCUAAAAUGAACUUUCAAGUGGGUGCUCGAGGCAUGAAAAUGAUCCCUGGUGAAAAGACGGAGAUGCAAAAAGGAAUGAGGAGCAAAAAGAAUGGUAAAUGUGGGGGCAAAAAAAAGAAAUUGCCCAUAUAAAAUAUAACAAUGUCUAAUGCGUGUGCGGGAAACAGCUUAGCACUAAAAUGCUGGUCAAAACUAGCAGAGUGUUGGAAGGGGAGUGAUUUCAGUUAAAGAGCUCUAGCGUUCUCAUAUUUGUCGGAGGAAGAAAUAUGUUAACUUUAGAACUUACUAAAUAUGCAUGUUAACAUCCCUGGCGUGGCUAAAAGAACAGCUGUGCAAUGUGUUACUUGAACAAAUAGGGACGAAGUAGGAAAAUAAAAUGAAAAAAAAAGAGGGUGGAACUCCCCUCAAAAAAAAAAAAGCCCCUUCUAUCACUCAUGGCGGGGUGUAUUAUCCUUCAGCAAGUGUUCACGGAAACUAUGUAACACAGAGGUUUAAAAUGUCCUUGGGGGAGUUCCCGUCGUGGCGCAGUGGUUAACGAAUCCGACUAGGAACCAUGAGGUUGCCCCUGCCACCUGCCCCCGGAGAGCCUUUGCUGCUUCAGCCCAGUCCCAAGAAGCAUAUUCUCAGAGCUGACCCAUAAUAGAGAACAAUAGGAAACCAAGCAGAGCUGUGACCAACCUCAGAAUGACAGUGACAAAUACGUGGUUGUCACUGUGGGCCACUGAGAUUCUGGAGCCGUCUGUGGCGGUAUGAUCGCAGUCAUGUAGCAUUCAUAUGCAGCUCCAAAGAAGACAGGAAAAGAGAGGGAGAAAAGCAGAAAACGCAGGUGGAAUUAGAAAAUAUAAUAAGAUGGUAGAAAUAAACCUCCAUCGAUCACCAAUCACUAAAACAUAAAUGAACUAAAGCUCUCUGGGUAAAAGACAAAGACUGUCACACAACCUUAAAAUACAAUUCAACCUAUGCUAUUUACAAGGGACGCACACCAAACAUAAGGACCCAGAAAGAUUGAAAAGCAAAGGAUGGAGAGAUAUGUUGUAGACGGAUGCGAAAAAGGAAAAAUGAGAAGGCUGUAUUAAUGUCCGAAGAAAUUGCCUUAAAGACUAAACAUUUUCCCGUCAUGGCUCCGAGGUUAAUGAACCCGACUAGGAUCCUUAAGGACGUGGGCUCGAUCCUUGGCCUGGCUCCGCAGAUCAAGGAUCCACCAUUGCUGUGAGCUGUGGCGUAGGCUGCAGAUGCGGCUCAGAUCUGGCGUUGCUGUGGCUGUGGUGUAGGCCAGCAGCUACAGCUCCGAUUCAACCCCCAAACCUGGGGACUUCCAUGUGCCAUGACCCUAAAACCAAAAAAAAAAAAAAAAAAAA